UACGGAGGGUGCGAGCGUUGUCCGGAAUCAUUGGGCGUAAAGGGCGCGUAGGUGGCCCGGUCAGUUCGUGGUGAAAGCGCGGGGCUCAACCCUGCGUCGGCCAUGAAUACUGCCGCGGCUGGAGCACUGUAGAGGCAGGCGGAAUUCCGGGUGUAGCGGUGGAAUGCGUAGAGAUCCGGAAGAACACCGGUGGCGAAGGCGGCCUUCUGGACAGUGACGUGACGCUGAGACGCGAAAGCGUGGGGAGCAAACAGGGAUUAAGAU
rnacentral:rRNA from 1 species